GACGAACGCUGGCGGCGUGCUUAACACAUGCAAGUCGAACGGAAAGGCCCUGCUUGCAGGGUACUCGAGUGGCGAACGGGUGAGUAACACGUGGGUGAUCUGCCCUGCACUUCGGGAUAAGCCUGGGAAACUGGGUCUAAUACCGGAUAGGAGCCAUUUUUAGUGUGAUGGUUGGAAAGUUUUUUCGGUGUAGGAUGAGCGCGCGGCCUAUCAGCUUGUUGGUGGGGUAAUGGCCUACCAAGGCGGCGGCGGGUAGCCGGCCUGAGGGGGUGGACGGCCACAUUGGGACUGAGAUACGGCCCAGACUCCUACGGGAGGCAGCAGUGGGGAAUAUUGCACGAUGGGCGCAAGCCUGAUGCAGCGACGCCGCGUGGGGGAUGACGGCCUUCGGGUUGUAAACUCCUUUCGCUAGGGACGAAGCUUUUUGUGACGGUACCUAGAGAAGAAGCACCGGCUAACUACGUG
rnacentral:rRNA from 1 species